UUCUCUUUUUCUCCUCUUUCUCCUCACUUAUCUAUCUUUUUCUCUCUUUCUUUCUCUUUUCAAAUCAAAGAUGGUCAAGAACCAAGACGAAAAAGACCACUACUUUUUGGAUGCUUAUGU
rnacentral:ribozyme from 1 species